rnacentral:rRNA from 1 species
GACGAACGCUGGCGGCGUGCUUAACACAUGCAAGUCGAACGGAGUGGCGAACGGGUGUGUAACACGUGGGUGUCCUGCCCUGCACUUCGGGAUAAGCCUGGGCAAAUGGGUAUAAUACAGGAUAGUGUGGGUUGGGCGCGCGGCGUAUCAGCUUGUUGGUGGGGUAAUGGCCUACCAAGGGGGCGACGGGUAGCCGGCCUGGGAGGGUGGACGGCCCCAGUGUGCCUGCGAGACGGCCCAGAGUGCAACGGGGGGCAGCAGUGGAGAAUAGUGCGCAAUGGGCGGAAGGCUGAUGCAGAGUCGUCGGGUGGGGGAUGACGGUCUUCGGGUUGGAAACUCCUUUAACCUUGGACGCGGUAGAUGGAGAAGAAGCACCGGCUAACUACGUGCCAGCAGCCGCGGUAAUUC